GUCUAUGGCCAUGCCACCCUGAACAUGCCUGAUCUUGUCUGAUCUAGGAAGCUAAGCCGGGUCGGGCCUGGUUAGUACUUGGAUGGGAGACCACCUAGGAAUACCAGGUGCUGUAGGUG
rnacentral:rRNA from 1 species